AAUAUUGCGCAAUGGAGGGAACUCUGACGCAGCGACGCCGCGUGAGCGUUGAAGGUCNNNGGAUCNUCAAGCUCUGUCCUUGGNGAANAAGGUCUUCGGACUUGACGGUACCUAAGGAGGAAGCCCUGGCUACCGACGUGUCAGCAGCCGCGGUAAUACGUAGGGGGCAAGCGUUGUCCGGAAUUAUUGGGGGGAAAGGGUGCUUAGGCGGCCUUUUAAGUCAGAUGUGAAAGCACACGGCUUAACCGUGGGACUGCAUUUGAAACUGGGGGGCUUGAGUAUCGGAGAGGGUAGUGGAAUUCCCAGUGUAGCGGUGGAAUGCGUAGAUAUUGGGAGGAACACCAGUGGCGAAGGCGACUACCUGGACGAAAACUGACGCUGAGGCACGAAAGCUAGGGGAGCAAACA
rnacentral:rRNA from 1 species